UACGGGGGGGAGCAAGCGUUGUUCGGAAUUACUGGGCGUAAAGGGCGCGUAGGCGGUUCGCUAAGUUGAAUGUGAAAACUCUGGGCUUAACCCAGAGCCUGCAUUCAAUACUGGCGGGCUAGAGUUCUGGAGGGGAUAGCGGAAUUCCUGGUGUAGCGGUGAAAUGCGUAGAUAUCAGGAGGAACACCGGUGGCGAAGGCGGCUAUCUGGACAGAGUCUGACGCUGAUGCGCGAAAGCUAGGGGAGCAAACAGG
rnacentral:rRNA from 1 species